UGCACGCGAACAGCCUUUCAUAAAAAGAUCCGUAACAGAAUCGACAUACGCUUUUCUGUAUAACCAGUUUCUGACGCCACUACUUAACCAGGAUCAAUGGAUGACUACACGAUACACAAGCUUCGUCACUGAAACGUGACAUCGCGGCUGAAAUCGCGUUGACCUACGUCACUGCGAAAUUAACGCAACGACAAGGUGGAAAAUGGAAAAUUGUAUAAAUAUCCCGAGGCUGCACGCAAGACGAUGGAAAAAGAACCUUGUUCCUUCGGAAGUGCCGUGUUAGAGGCUUUUCAAAAAUAAACCUGCACCACGUGUAGCCUUGAUCCUGUGCACGCAAUGCCGCAUACACAUGUGACACAUGAGGAUAAGAACGGGACACACGCACGUCUACCUAAAUCCUGCUAAAUCCAGCUACGUCCUACGUUCUUCGUUGCAACUAUGUGGCCGAAAAGCUGUCUUAAGGUGAACGGAACUAGCUCUAUGAUUCCCAUGUGUCUAUGACUUCCUGACACGAGCUGGAGGUAG